rnacentral:lncRNA from 1 species
GUAAAUCACUUAGAUAUGCUAUAUUGAGAAAAUAUUUACCAUUUAUGACUAUAAUUUCUUUUUAACUAAAUCUAUCAGUUUCAUGGAAUUAAAAUUGUACAACUUCGGACCUAUUUUCUUUCCUAUUUAUUCGUCUCUUUCUCUACAUAUGAUUUCUCCUUUUUUUUUUUCUUCUUCUUCUUCUUCUUCAAAUUUUUAAUUCAAAUAACUAUCUUUAAAUAUUCAUCUCUUCAAAUCGAUUUAUACCCAUGUUGCACGAUUUACACCGAAAAUAUCACGAGGAGAAGAAUACAAAGAACCAAAAAUUGUACAAAAUCGUGUGUGCAAAUUGAGAUUUCAAAUCUCUAAAAUUGCAGCAGCAAGC